rnacentral:misc_RNA from 1 species
GUGGGUUGUGACUGCAUGCAAGGGAUCUCUCAGCGAGGAUUUAGAGCAACCAUGGGUUGUCUGUGCUAUCUUUGUUUUGAUUAUGGUAACUUUGCUCUAGGGGUGUAUUUUUACGGGUAUAGUACCCUGGGAACAUUCCUUGUGCUUACUGAAAGCCUUGGUUCCCAAAUGGUCAUGGUAUGCCAAAGGGCUUUACUAUACCACCCCGAAGAGACGUUGUUUAGGCCCCUGACUAAACUGCUGAAUGUUUGCAUUUUUGGUGCUUAAUUGGG